GAAUUCAUAUUCGUAGCAGAUAGCUCAGUAACACGUGGCCAAACUACCCUAUAGACCAGAAUAACCUCGGGAAACUGAGGCUAAUGCUGGAUACUCCUCUAUUCCUGGAAUGGAUUGAGGUACAAAUGCUCCGGCGCUAUAGAAUGUGGCUGCGGCCGAUUAGGUAGACGGUGGGGUAACGGCCCACCGUGCCAAUAAUCGGUACGGGUUGUGAGAGCAAGAGCCCGGAGACGGAAUCUGAGACAAGAUUCCGGGCCCUACGGGGCGCAGCAGGCGCGAAAACUUUACACUGCACGACAGUGCGAUAAGGGGACUCCGAGUGCGUGGGCAUAGUGCCCUCGCUUUUGUGAACCGUANGGAGGUUCACGAAUAAGAACUGGGCAAGACCGGUGCCAGCCGCCGCGGUAACACCGGCAGUUCGAGUGAUGACCGAUUUUAUUGGGCCUAAAGCGUCCGUACCGGCCAGGCAAGUCUGUUGGGAAAUCUACUCGCUCAACGA
rnacentral:rRNA from 1 species